GAUGAACGCUAGCGGCAGGCCUAACACAUGCAAGUCGAGGGGUAACGUGAGUGCUUGCACUUGACGACGACCGGCGCACGGGUGCGGAACGCGUAUGGAACCUACCUUUAUCAGGGGGAUAGCCCAUGGAAACGUGGAUUAAUACCCCAUAGUAUUAUUUCAUUGCAUGAUGAUAUAAUUAAAGAAUUUCGGAUAGAGAUGGCCAUGCGUAUCAUUAGCUAGUAGGCGAGGUAACGGCUCACCUAGGCGACGAUGAUUAGGGGUCCUGAGAGGGAGAUCCCCCACACUGGUACUGAGACACGGACCAGACUCCUACGGGAGGCAGCAGUGAGGAAUAUUGGGCAAUGGAG
rnacentral:rRNA from 1 species